AACGGAAGGAAGUAGGAAUUCCAACACCCGUUCCUUCCGGGACCUAGGAAGAAGCCUCCUGCUUCUGAGCCCGAGGAUUUGUUGCUGGCCAGUGCUGUAACUGGACGUCUCGGGAGAAGGAGCGAAGCCUGGACCCUGCUCAGCUGGCUUUGUACAGAGAUUGGAGGCUGCAGAAUUGCAGCAUUCUGGUUGCUGUGGAGCUCACUGAUAAGCCAGACCUGCUCACUUUUGAAGCUCCCUGGAAGGUGAAGAGGAAGGAGACAGAAGCAAAUGUACCAGGAACCCAAAGGAAGUAACUGUCAAGCUGUGGUUGAGAAGGCAUCUCUUCAGCCCACUGGGGAGUCCUCAGAUUUUAAACUAUCUGCAGCUGGCAAAGAGCUUCUCUCAGAGUCCACACAAAGGAAAUAGCCUGCUGCUGUGGACCAUCUGAAUCAGCCCCACAUUCUACACCUGGGACCAAAACAAAAACAUGUUUAUAUCCA